AGAGUUUGAUCCUGGCUCAGGAUGAACGCUAGCGGCAGGCUUAACACAUGCAAGUCGAGGGGCAGCGCGGGGUAGCAAUACUCUGGCGGCGACCGGCGGAAGGGUGCGUAACACGUGAGCGACUUGCCCGAUACAGGGAGAUAACCGGUGGAAACGCCGACUAAUAUCCCAUACGACAUGAGGCUGCAUGGCCUUGGGUUGAAAGGUUCGCCGGUAUCGGAUAGGCUCGCGGGACAUUAGCUUGAUGGCGGGGCAACGGCCCACCAUGGCGACGAUGUCUAGGGGUUCUGAGAGGAAGACCCCCCACACUGGGACUGAGACACGGCCCAGACUCCUACGGGAGGCAGCAGUGAGGAAUAUUGGUCAAUGGGCGGAAGCCUGAACCAGCCAUGCCGCGUGAAGGACUAAGGCCCUAUGGGUCGUAAACUUCUUUAGACGCAGAGCAAUAAGGGCCUCGUGAGGUCCGAUGAGAGUAUGCGUAGAAUAAGCAUCGGCUAACUCCGUGCCAGCAGCCGCGGUAAUACGGGGGAUGCGAGCGUUAUCCGGAUUUAUUGGGUUUAAAGGGUGCGUAGGCGGCGAAUUAAGUCAGCGGUGAAAGACCGGGGCUCAACCCUGGAAGUGCCGUUGAUACUGAUUGGCUAGAAUACCCUUGCCGUGGGAGGAAUGAGUGGUGUAGCGGUGAAAUGCAUAGAUAUCACUCAGAACACCGAUUGCGAAGGCAUCUCACGAAGGGGCGAUUGACGCUGAGGCACGAAAGCGUGGGGAUCGAACAGGAUUAGAUACCCUGGUAGUCCACGCAGUAAACGAUGAUGGCUAACUGUCGGGCCUGCGGGUUCGGCGGCCAAGCGAAAGCGAUAAGCCAUCCACCUGGGGAGUACGACCGCAAGGUUGAAACUCAAAGGAAUUGACGGGGGCCCGCACAAGCGGAGGAACAUGUGGUUUAA
rnacentral:rRNA from 1 species